CGUAGGCGAUGGAUAACAGGUUGAUAUUCCUGUACCACCUAUAAUCGUUUUAAUCGAUGGGGGGACGCAGUAGGAUAGGCGAAGCGUGCGAUUGGAUUGCACGUCUAAGCAGUAAGGCUGAGUAUUAGGCAAAUCCGGUACUCGUUAAGGCUGAGCUGUGAUGGGGAGAAGACAUUGUGUCUUCGAGUCGUUGAUUUCACACUGCCGAGAAAAGCCUCUAGAUAGAAAAUAGGUGCCCGUACCGCAAACCGACACAGGUAGUCAAGAUGAGAAUUCUAAGGUGAGCGAGCGAACUCUCGUUAAGGAACUCGGCAAAAUGACCCCGUAACUUCGGGAGAAGGGGUGCUCUUUAGGGUUAACGCCCAGAAGAGCCGCAGUGAAUAGGCCCAAGCGACUGUUUAUCAAAAACACAGGUCUCUGCUAAACCGUAAGGUGAUGUAUAGGGGCUGACGCCUGCCCGGUGCUGGAAGGUUAAGAGGAGUGGUUAGCUUCUGCGAAGCUACGAAUCGAAGCCCCAGUAAACGGCGGCCGUAACUAUAACGGUCCUAAGGUAGCGAAAUUCCUUGUCGGGUAAGUUCCGACCCGCACGAAAGGCGUAACGAUUUGGGCACUGUCUCAACGAGAGACUCGGUGAAAUCAUAGUACCUGUGAAGAUGCAGGUUACCCGCGACAGGACGGAAAGACCCCGUGGAGCUUUACUGUAGCCUGAUAUUGAAAUUCGGCACAGCUUGUACAGGAUAGGUAGGAGCCUUUGAAACGUGAGCGCUAGCUUACGUGGAGGCGCUGGUGGGAUACUACCCUAGCUGUGUUGGCUUUCUAACCCGCACCACUUAUCGUGGUGGGAGACAGUGUCAGGCGGGCAGUUUGACUGGGGCGGUCGCCUCCUAAAAGGUAACGGAGGCGCUCAAAGGUUCCCUCAGAAUGGUUGGAAAUCAUUCAUAGAGUGUAAAGGCAUAAGGGAGCUUGACUGCGAGACCUACAAGUCGAGCAGGGUCGAAAGACGGACUUAGUGAUCCGGUGGUUCCGCAUGGAAGGGCCAUCGCUCAACGGAUAAAAGCUACCCCGGGGAUAACAGGCUUAUCUCCCCCAAGAGUUCACAUCGACGGGGAGGUUUGGCACCUCGAUGUCGGCUCAUCGCAUCCUGGGGCUGUAGUCGGUCCCAAGGGUUGGGCUGUUCGCCCAUUAAAGCGGUACGCGAGCUGGGUUCAGAACGUCGUGAGACAGUUCGGUCCCUAUCCGUCGUGGGCGUAGGAAAUUUGAGAGGAGCUGUCCUUAGUACGAGAGGACCGGGAUGGACAUACCUCUGGUGUACCAGUUGUCGUGCCAACGGCAUAGCUGGGUAGCUAUGUGUGGACGGGAUAAGUGCUGAAAGCAUCUAAGCAUGAAGCCCCCCUCAAGAUGAGAUUUCCCAACUUCGGUUAUAAGAUCCCUCAAAGAUGAUGAGGUUAAUAGGUUCGAGGUGGAAGCAUGGUGACAUGUGGAGCUGACGAAUACUAAUCGAUCGAAGACUUAAUCAA
rnacentral:rRNA from 1 species